rnacentral:lncRNA from 13 species
GAACUACAUGAAACAGGGAUGAUCAUCACCUUCAUUGUUUUACAGAGAUUCUGGCUUUUGCACUGUAAGAAUUGAAGAUCCCGCAGCUGAAAUGACGUCAUAAAAAGGCCUUCAUUCAGGAGAAAAUUAAAAACAGAUUAUGGACUUGAAGCACAAAAGGUCUUUGAACCCUUGUGCAGCGUGGGAUGCAGCAUGCACCAGACAUAAGCAUACAGGAUUUCUGGGAGAAGAAACCCAACCUAAUAAAUGA